AGGACGAACGCUGGCGGCGUGCUUAACACAUGCAAGUCGGACGGUGAUCUUGGGAGCUUGCUUCCGGGUGAUCAGUGGCGAACGGGUGAGUAACACGUGAGUAACCUGCCCUUCACUCUGGGAUAACUCCGGGAAACCGGGGCUAAUACUGGAUAUGACUCGAACAGGCAUCUGUAUCGGGUGGAAAGAUUUAUUGGUGGAGGAUGGACUCGCGGCCUAUCAGCUUGUUGGUGAGGUAAUGGCUUACCAAGGCGACGACGGGUAGCCGGCCUGAGAGGGCGAUCGGCCACACUGGGACUGAGACACGGCCCAGACUCCUACGGGAGCAGCAGUGGGGAAUAUUGCACAAUGGGCGAAAGCCUGAUGCAGCGACGCCGCGUGAGGGAUGAAGGCCGUUCGGUUAGUAAACCUCUUUCAGUCAGGAAGAGCGAGAGUGACGGUACUGCAGAAGAAGCACCGGACUAACUACGUGCCAGCGAGCCGCGUAACUC
rnacentral:rRNA from 1 species